rnacentral:misc_RNA from 1 species
AAAGUCGUAACAAGGUUUCCGUAGGUGAACCUGCGGAAGGAUCAUUAACACGUAUCCAAACGUUAAAACCCCCCCCGUGAACCUUCAUCCUGCUCUUGUAACCCGCGUAGUUCGGAGCUUUGCCAAAGGGUCCCCAUGCCCCCUAAUAACCCCACAGUUUAAUGUGAAGCUCAAUGUAAUACAUUGGGUAAAAAAACCGAACAACUGUUAACAAUGGAUAUCUUGGUUAUC